UACGUAGGUGGCAAGCGUUGUCCGGAUUUACUGGGCGUAAAGGGCGCGCAGGCGGUCGUUCAAGUCGCGUGUGAAAGCCCCCGGCUCAACUGGGGAGGGUCACGCGAUACUGAUCGACUCGAAGGCAGGAGAGGGUAGUGGAAUUCCACGUGUAGCAGUGAAAUGCGUAGAGAUGUGGAGGAACACCGAUGGCGAAGGCAGCCCCCUGGGUCAAGAUUGACGCUCAUGCACGAAAGCGUGGGGAGCAAACAGG
rnacentral:rRNA from 1 species